rnacentral:rRNA from 1 species
GAUGAACGCUAGCUACAGGCUUAACACAUGCAAGUCGAGGGGAAACGACAUCGCAAGCUUGCUUUUGAUGGGCGUCGACCGGCGCACGGGUGAGUAACGCGUAUCCAACCUGCCCAUCACUUGGGGAUAACCUUGCGAAAGUAAGACUAAUACCCAAUGAUAUCUCUAGAAGACAUCUGACAGAGAUUAAAGAUAUGUCGGUGAUGGAUGGGGAUGCGUCUGAGUAGCUUGUUGGCGGGGUAACGGCACACCAAGGCCACGAUCAGUAGGGGUUCUGAGAGGAAGGACCCCCACAUUGGAACUGGGACAAGAUCCCAACGCGAACGGGAGGUAGGAGUUAUGAAGAUUGGUCAAUGGGCGUGAUCCUGACCCAGCCAAGGAGUGAGCAGGAUGACCGCCUUAUGGAUUGUAAUCUGUUUUUAUAAGGGAAAAUAGGGUGAGUCGUUACUCUUUUUGCAUGAACCUUAGGAAUAAGGACCGGUUAAUUCCGU